UACUUGUAGGAGCCCAAGGACAUACACAGCAUUCAGCCAUAUUCCACCACUGAAAUAUAGCUCCCUUUGCAGUGGAACUGUCCUGUGCUGACAAAGAGUGAGAUCUCAGAGCGCUGUGCAAACAUUAAGGGGCUAGGACAAACAACCCCGGUUAGAAAGACUGCAGCCCCCUGGACAGGAAACCUUCAGUGAUCAAGAAUAUCCUCUGCCAGCAGCAUGCAUUUUUGGGUACAACCAGUGGUCAUUAUUUCAACACCUGGUGUUGAAG